UACGGAGGGUGCAAGCGUUAUCCGGAUUCACUGGGUUUAAAGGGUGCGUAGGCGGAUAUGUAAGUCCGUGGUGAAAUCUCUGGGCUUAACCCGGAAACUGCCAUGGAUACUAUGUGUCUUGAAUUUUCUGGAGGUCAGCGGAAUAUGUCAUGUAGCGGUGAAAUGCUUAGAUAUGACAUAGAACACCAAUAGCGAAGGCAGCU
rnacentral:rRNA from 1 species